CAGAGAACCCUCGCCACCAUCAUCAAAAUCAAGUGUUCUUGCAUCAACAAAUGGGCAUGGCUCCCCUCUUCCGCUCGUUGCCUCUCCUCGUCCUCCUAGUCGCUCUGUCCAGCACCACAUUACCUUCCUCCCGUUCUACGUCCGUCGAUGGAGACCACCAUGACCUGCUGAUGCGGGGUAGGUUCCACCGAUGGAUGUCGCAUCAUGGCCGGACGUACCCGAGUGCCGCCGAGAAGCUGCGGCGGUUUGAGGCGUACCGUCGUAACAUGGACCUCAUCGACGCCUCCAACAGGGACGCCGAGAGGCUGGGCUAUGAGCUCGGUGAGAACGAGUUCACCGACCUUACGAACGAGGAGUUCAUGACACGGUAUGUAGGUGGAGCCAGUGCUGGUGGUGGUCUCAUCACUACUUUGGCCGGAGAUGUCGUGGAAGGGGUGGUAUCAUCCAAGAACACUGUCGAGGGGGACGGUAAUUUGACGAUGACCACCUCCGACCCUCCUCGGCAGUUCGACUGGAGGGAGCAUGGCGCUGUCACGCCUGCAAAGCAACAAGGGGCAUGCGGAUGCUGCUGGGCGUUUGCUGCGGCGGCGACGGUGGAGAGCUUGAACAAGAUAAAUGGCGGGGAGCUGGUGGACCUGUCGGUGCAGGAGCUGGUGGACUGCAGCACGGGUGUGUUCAGCUCGCCGUGCGGCUACGGGUGGCCCAAGAGCGCACUCUUCUUUCAUUAUCCUACAUGGCCAAGCGAGGCAGAUGCGAGGUGCACGACGCCGCCCAACGCAUCGGCAAGAUCACCGGCGUCCAGGACGUGCAGCCGGGGAGCAACGAGAACGCGCUGGCGCUGGCCGUGCUCAUGACGCCGGUGACCGUCCAGAUCGACGGGAGCGGCUCCGUGCUGCAGAACUACAAGUCCGGCGUGUACAAGGGGCCGUGCACCACCAGCCAGAACCACGUGGUGACGGUGGUCGGCUACGGGCUCACCGGCGCCGGAGAAGAGUACUGGAUCGCCAAGAACUCCUGGGGCCAGACGUGGGGCCAGAAGGGCUUCUUCUUCAUGCGUAGGGGAGCGGACGGGCCCCGCGGGCUGUGUGGCAUGGCCAUGUACGGUGCUUAUCCCGUCAUGUAGCUAGUAUUAUAUCAUGGUAUGCGCGCAACGUAAUGUGUUAUUAAAAUAAGAUGCAUCAAUGCAUGUGCGCGAUACAUGGAUGUGUGGACGAUGAUGCCACCGACACCAUCUACGCCAAAUUACUUUGGCACCGUAUUAUGAUGUGUAUGCUUUGUCAGGUGUGUAUUUUUGAAAUGUAAGUGCAAGUUCUUAAUAAUAAGUUAUAUACUAUCUAUCCUUCGUAA